CCUCUCUCUCCUCUCUCUCCUCCCGCACUGUCCGUGCUCUCCCUGCCCCCACAUGUCCCAGAACAAGGAAAAGAAUCAUAGGUUGCAAGAAGUGAGGAGCCAGGUGUUUGUCUUCCAGUCCAGCGUAUUUCCACUUCAUCCUUUGUCCCCCCUUUUCCUUGAUCAGAAUUAUUUUAUUAUCUUCUCCCACCAAUAUUGCUGGAUCUGACAGUGCCCCGGAGCCCUGGGCCAGUUCUCGGCUCUCAGUUGACUCCCCUUUAUGUGUGGGCACCUGUUCUAGGCCAGCUUGUCCAAGAGCGCCCAGCGCUUUGUGCCUCCUCCAUCUUCCAGCCUGAUUGUGACUGUGUGCUCAGGAGUCGGUCCUAAACACCUAAGUACCUUGAUCUCCAGGCAGCGGGAGAGGGUUGCCUUUCUACACAGGUCAGGGGAAAAGGCUUGGCUGGCGCUGCUACAUCACUUGGACUCAACACACAGAUCUCUAAACCUCAUCUGUGCAACCAUCAGCAAGGAGCUCUGGCCCACUCCUCCAUCCCAGACAGCUUCUCCUUCGAAGAUCGACUUCCUGACUCCCCCUCCAGUCCACUCCUGCCGCUCAGCAGAUCUGUGGAAAGGGACUUCCUGAGUUCCGAGGACAGAGAUUCUAUCUUGCCUCUUUCCUAAGGGAGACUGCUGUGGGCAGGCAGACUGAGGCUGCAACCCACAUUUUUGAGCACUUUCUCAUCCAAGGGACUUUGUGGGGGACAGGUGAGGGCAUGUUCAGGGAGGCAAACACCUCUUAGAACUUCAGGAUGAAAGGUCUCCUCCCUUGGCCUGGAGGCUGGUUCUGGUCAAGCCAAGGUUUAGGGAGGCCCAUGACUAUCUCAUGAAAGGACUGAGGGUUUGACCUUGAACUCUUAAUCUUAGCUGUACUACAUAUCAGAUCAAAUAAUUUUUUUUGAGUGUUGAGACUGAGCCCAGGGUCUCACUCAUGCUCAACAUUUGCCCCUCCACUGAGCCACACUUCCAAACUAAAGACUAGUUUCUAUAUGGCUCUGGUUGGCCUGGAACUUUGUUAUAUACUAGGCUGGUCUUGAAUCCACAGAACCCCCUCUCUGCCUCUGCCUCCCUAGUGCUAUAAUUAAAAGUACAUAACACCAUGCUUAACUAAAACCUAAUUUUAAUUAGAUUUUGUUGUUGUUGUUGUUUUAUUAGUUUUUUGAGGUGUGUUCUCAUAUAGUCCAGGCUAACCUCAGACUUUCUCUGUAACCAAGGCUGGCCUUUAAUUAUUGGUCCUUCUGCCUCUGCCUCCUAAGUGCUGGGAUUACAGCCAUGAGCCAUGUCCACCUCCAAAAUAACAUAUUUAUGUAUAUGUAUAUAUAUAUGCAUAAUAUAUAUUUUUAAUUACGUAAUUUCUUUUAGCCUUAACUUCUAUAUUUUAAGAAUGAGACUACUGAUAGUCAUAUUUCUAGUAGAAUUUUCAGUGUUGUUUUGAAGAAUCUUUAGUGUCUAGCAUGUACUCAAAGUGCUCCAUAAGUGGCUUUUACUAGUAAAUUUUGAGGAACACAGUGACAGGGCUGGACCCUGUGGCCUCUCUAGCUUUGGAUGGUCAUUAUUUUAUAAUCCAAGAGACACAGAAGUCUUGAAAACAAAAACAAAAGAAGAUGAAUGUGGCGUACUCCCCUAAAUCAGCCUCACAGGGACUCUAGCCUUGUAACUGUUUUAUUUUGUGUUUUUAUACAGUGUCUCGCUACGUAGCUCAGGCUAGUCUCUCUCUCUCUCUCUCUCUCUCUCUCUCUCUCUCUCUCUCUCUCCCCCUUUUCUUUUCUUUCUCCCCGCCGCUCCUAGACAGGGUUUCUCUGUGUAACUCUGGCUGUCCUGGAACUUGCUCUGUAGACCACGCUGGUCACGAACUCAGAUUCACCUGCCUCUGCCUCUGGAGUGCUGGGAUACAAGGCACAGGCCACCACAAUCCGGUUUUGCCUCAGUCUCUUAGCGAUUCUCUUGCCUUGGCCUUCCAAGUAUUGGGGUUACAGAUUUGAUUGAUGAUGCCCAAUUCUAUCCAUAUUAAAUCCUGCUUGGGGAGAGGCCUAGGGAGGCCUCGGGCUGAUUGUAGAACUCCUGCCCCCCGCCCAGGGGGUGGGGUGGGGAAGAAGAGAUGAACAGCAGGCAGGAGGCGGGUGCAUUCUGAUUCUUCAGCAGGUUCACUCCAAGAAGUGGUGGAAGAAGAGGGUGUCAAGCCAGAGUUAUUUUGAGUUUGGAGAAUAGGUUCUAUUUUCACUGGCGAGGCGACAGGUGGAGUGACAGAAGAAGAAGCAGACAAAGCAGCCCAGAGUCACCCAGGGAUGCUGCCUGAGUUAGAACCCAGUGCUAGCAUUGGGUGGAACAGCUAGAACCUGAGGAUGAAUUCAAGAUACCCGGAAGCACCACACGCUCCCUGCAGCCAAGCUCCCCUGUAGCACUUGAGUCCCAGAGCCAGGCAGCGUUUCUGCUCCUGGACUCUCACUCCUCAUGCCUCGGCUCUCACAUCGGGGGUGGAGAGCCAGGCAUGGGCUGCCUCUGUGUAGUGAUUUGGCUUUUUUUUGGCCCUGAAAGGCAAUGGACAGUGUGAGAGGGAGGAGAGACAAUGCUAGUGUGCAGACCAAAGAUUCCUACAUGCCAUGGGUGAGAGGGUUCACUGACCCACAGGUCCCCAGUCUGCAACUCUGUUUGCUCACUCUGAACUUACUCUUGUUGAGUUGCAAACGGGAGCUUGGAGGGACAAUGCUGAGAGAAUCCACCAUUUUCAGCUCCAAGUGACUGCCCUGAAGAUGCUUUUGUGAAUCGAGUUCAGAAUCUCUGAGGUGCUGUUGAAAUGCACCUCCUGGUCCAGACUCUGAAAUAUUUUGAUUUGCAAGUCCAAAACUCCCGCUCAGCAAUUCUAAGGUGCACUCCAGCUGAGAAUCCCCAGGAUAGGAUUGGAGGAGAGAUAAUAAACGCUACUGAGCCUGGAAGGAGCUGGGGAGAUUCCAUCCUAAGAGGGCAAAGCUGCUUCACCUCCUUCCAACAGGAGUUGCUGUGUGGAUACACACUCCAUCCAGUCUGAAGCAGAGCAUGGGCUGGGGGUGUAGCUCAGUGGUAGAGCACCUGCCAAUAGACAGGACCCAGGUUCCAUUCCCAGUAAUUGGAUGGAUGGAUGGACGGAUGGACCGACAGAUGAAGGGAUGGAUGGAGCAGGAAGUAUGUGUUCCUCUGGGUGCUGGGAGCUGGGCUGUGGUACUCAUUUAAUUCCCUAGCUGGGUGGGUAUCUGGGCAGCAUCUCCAGGAGGAACUAAGAACUUGAGCCAUCGUCUACAGCACUACAGUUUCACGAAUAUCAGUGGAAGGAGAACUUAGACCCCGUCUGCCUCCUCAGCGUGCACAUGAGGAGAGUUGAUGUUGGUGGUCUCUGUGUAAUAAAGGACAGUGUUGGCAGAGUCUUGACUAAACCCAGAGAAGAAAGCCCAGCAUUCUUCCUGUGUGUGCCAUCAUAAGAGGCCCACAAGAUGGCAUAGCUGGCCUUCAAGAAGUUUGAUAGAAUAAACAUUUUACAAUGCAAUGACAUGAAUAGCCACCCAGAAAUUCACAUGAAUAACAGGUGAAGAUGAGGUACAUAUACACCUGAAGUGAGUUCUCUGAAUAAAUAACCUGAAAAAAAUCAGUAAAUGAAAAGGUAUAAUGAGAUCCAUACAACUGAAGGGAAUUGUCUUAAAUGGCUGAUUGUAAUGAGAUGUACAUAAAUUGUAAGGCUUGUAAUGAAACAAAAAAAAUUCAUAUUCUUGCCUGGUAAUACUGGGUGUAAUGUCUACACCUGAAAUAAGUCAUCUCAGUGUGCUGAGUGUAAUGAGAUGCACAUAAUUUUAAAGAGUUUAAUGAGAUGAAAAUAAAUCAAACACUUGUCUUAAAAUGAAAGAUGUACGAAGAUGCACACACCUGAAGGGCAUUGUCCUAAAUGGGUUCAAUUUAAUGAGAUGCAUUUAAUUUGCAAAGGGGCUAAAUGAGAUCGGCCCAGAGAGAGGCUGAGAAAUAUCAAAGUAGAAGAUACACUUGGAAGUGGUGUAAUAUAACCUGCCUUGUUUGUGGGCUAGAAAUAAGGUGUCAAGAAGCACACAGCACAGCUCAGGCCACACUAUCUGCUGGCCUUAGUCCUUAUCCCCUGGUUGAUGAUGCCCUCCCUGCAAAGCUGAAUUAUCCUUUGACCUCAGGUUGAUGCUGUACAUAGUAGGCACCCUGAAAGGUCAGGGAAUGGACAAAUGGCUUUGAAGUUGGAUCUACAUGGAAAAAAGAAAGAAGGGAACUAUGUAGGAAGGAACUUGAAAGAGGAGCUGGAGAUUCCUCUCCUCUCUCUUCCACUCUACUCUCUUCCCCCUUUUCUCUUAUCUUUCUUAGGUGGGGUCUCUUUAGGUAGCCCAAGCUGGUCUCAAACCCUUCCAUCCUCCUGCCUUUCUCUCCUAGGUACUUGGAUUACAGGUGCAUAUGCCUAGCUCUGAAACCUAUUUUUUUAAGAACAUAUUUUAUUUAUUUGUGUGGGGGGCACAUCCGCCGUAGCAUGUGUGUGGAGGUCAGAGGACAACUUGAACGUCUCAGUUCUUACUUUCUAUCAUGUGAACCCCAGGAAUCGUAGUCAGAUGGUCUGGCAUGGUGGCAAGUUCCUUUACCCGCUGAGACGAAAGGGCCCCUGAAGUCUAUUUUCUGUGAGCAAUGUUCCGGAGGAAACACUGCUCAUGGUAAUUUUUGUUCCCUCAGAGCUCAUGAUUACCUCUCAAGGCCAGGUAGGCAGGUAUGACAAGUGAAUGAAGGUGUCUGGGUGUGAGAUAGGCACAAAGUGCAAGAAAAGGCAGGAUUAUCUGCAUUUGCACAAAUAUAUUUUCUCCAAUAUUUUGUUUCCAAGGCAGAGUCCCGUUGGAUGAUCUUGUUUUCUCAUUCUUGGUGGAGAAAUGGGUUUAGAGAAAUACUUCCCUUCUUAAUAAAGACCCAUUAUAAACUUAUAAACUCUGUACAGCGAUGCACAGCUGUAACUCCAGCACUAGAGUCUUAGACAAGAGGAUGAAGAGGUCAAGGUUGCCUAACUGCACAGUGAGUUUGGGGUUAGCCUGCUAUACAUAACUAGUCCCAGGCCAGCCUGUGAUACACAGAAAGACCUCCCCCCUCAAAAAAAUAGAUCACGCACGCACGCACGCACGCAGAAUUGGGAUGCAGCUCAGUGGUAGGACAUUUACCUAGCAUUUUCAAGGCCUUAGGUUCAAUCCCCAACACCACCAAAUCAAGCCACACCAGACUGAAACACCCAAAACAAAGCACUCUAACCCAAUUAGAUAUUAGAAAGGGGAGAAUACCUAACUAACUACUUAAGGUCAGUCCCAGCAUAACCACAGCUGACCUCAGCCUCAGUGCUGGGCUACCACAGGAGUGGGGGAUGUCAUAACUUAGAGAGUGAAUCUCAGGGUAGCAGUCAUUCAGGUGCUCCAGUCACAGUCAUGCAGGCAUGUAGAUCCCAAAUUGCCUGACUGCCUGACUUCAGGAGAGACCAGGAAUCUCAUUUGUUCCAUGUACAAUCUUCUAACUUCUAAAUGUUGGUGUAACAAUCUUAAAAGCAACUGCUCUGAGCAAACCAUGACUGUAAGCAGGAUGUUAUCUCAACAUCACACUUGACCUGAGCAGCUCUUGUCCGCAACACUGAGCAAUAAAGUUAGAGAUCAUUCAGAAUGGUCAGACUGUGGCUCUAACCCACUCUUUUAGGAUGCGGACUGCCCGGAAGGGAUUCAUGACCAUGACUGUCUCCUGUGCCUAGAACGGAGCCCAGGACAGUGCGAGCUUAACAACUGUGUGCAGAAACAACAGUGAGCUCGUUGGGAUUAAGACUGAGCUGGUUGCAGGCUGCCAGCCAUUGCUGUCAUCUGGCCUGUGUAAAUCAGAAGAGGGGCUUCUGGCCAAGGAUGUUUAAGUCUUCAGCAGGAUUUGCAAGCCUGAAAGGGCCUUUCCGAUGAACUGGCAGUCAGGUCCAGAAGCUGGCCUGAACAGUUUCUUGGGCUGUUAAUAACAGAGUUUUAUUUUAGGCUAAAGAAAUCUACCCACCCCCACCCCCAGUAUCCCCUCUCUGUCAUUACCACAGGGGACAUCUCUCUGGGUUUGUCUGCAUCAUCUGGAUCAUGCAGACACAGCACUUGCCGUCUCCUGAGAACACAACCACCCACACCACAAACCCACUUUUAGUUGUCAGCAUGGUUGAAAAGAUGGCACCCCGGGUUGGAAAACCAUGUUAGUCUAAUUUCUUUGGGACAUAUUUUCUGCUGUGUGGUUUGCAGAAUCCUUAAUACAUAUGACUUGGAAAGAAGGAGCAGAGACGGAUCAAGUGAAUCUAAGGAACAGCUAAAGAGUUAAACAGGCUUCUUUUCCUGCAGGACUUUUCGGAGCCUUCACUACAAUGUGCAUUGCACACAAUGUGUGGUAUAUUUAGCUAGGAACUUUGGGUUAAUUUGGUUGGCAUUUAUUUUUAGCUAAGAGUAUCCAGCUAAUUUGGUCAUGGAAUUUUUUCCUUGGCAAUAUAUAUAUGCUGUGUGUAUACAUAUAUUAAAGACUUCUUAUUUCAUUUGUGUGUGUGAGUGCCCACAUGCAUGCUAGUGCACAGUGUGCCUGUCUGGUAUCUGCAGAGGUCAGAGAAAGGUAUCCUGACUGGAGUUACAGGCAGUUGUGAGCUGUUUGAGAUGGGUGCUAGGAACUGAGUGUAGGUCCUCCGUGCAAGAACAGCAAGUGUUCUUAACUGCUGAGCCUUCUCUUCAGUUCGUUUGAGUGUGUGUGUGUGUGUGUGUGUGUGUGUGUGUGUGUUCCUUGGAAACUUCUGCUUGAAAUGAUAAUGAAAUCUCCCCCAGGUUCUCUCUUUUUACUUACAUUUUAUUUUUUGAGACAAGUCUCGUGUAUUCCAGGCUAUCCUCUGAGUAUGUAGCCAAGGAUGGCCUUGAACUUCUAAUCCCCCUGCCUCCUACUCCGGAGGGUUAGGACAACUUACAUGGUCUAUGAUGUCUGGCUCUCUGUCUUUCCAAUUUGGGGAGGUGAGGUGGUAAUGUGUUUGUUAUCGUCUUUUGAAUCUUUUGACUUUUCUGACCCCUUCUGCAUCCUUGGCUUGGCUGCAGGGAAUGAAGAGACUCCUGGGAUUAGGGGUCAGACCCUGCCCUGGACAUAGUACCAGGGUUAAAGCUGCAGCCCACGAUUCAUCUCUUUCCAUGCUCCAGGACUUUCCACCUAUGAACAAAGGAAGGUGGGUUUAUGAGAGUGACGUGUAGGCCAUGGCUGCACCAACUUGGAUGAUAAAGUCCUGGGGCAACAAUGGGAAAUACAGAGGUCUACAAGGGUGAAGGUCAGCUCUCCUCUGCAGUGCAGAGGACUGUUGGGAGAGGGCAGUACAGAGCAUCCUCUGUCCUCUCUAGACUCUGAUUUAGAGCUGGAGUGCCAAAGUGGACCAUCUUCCUCUCCAGACAGGCUAACAGAGGUCACCCCUUUUCUCUUUCUGAGGGAGAUCAGUUCAAUGGGAGUGGAUUGGGCUUCCAGAUCCUGUCUGGCCCAGGGUCCCACUGAAGGCAUAAGGGACCUCUAAGGUAGUCACAGGAAGAGAGAAUUGUGCACCAGCAUUUCGGUAGGUGAUAAGGUUUACUGAAAACUUUGCGGCCACAUUCAGUACUGGUUUGGUGGAUACACUGGAAGGAGGUUGCAUAACAUUAGGCGGGUGGAAGGGGCUGGGAGGAAGAGAUGUAGGCAUGUGUAUCCAUGUGCACAUAUGCACACAUGUCCGUGCUGAGUAGGGUGCUUGUCACGGUGCUGAGUGGAGGAAGUUAUGUGUGGAUGUAUGUAUUUUAACAAGAAAAAUGAACUAGAAGAGGAAAUACGUUUUAUCCACUGCGUGUUGCAAAAGUCUCACGCCAAAAAAGCUUGCCUUUCCUCUAAGUAUGACAUCAAAAGGGAGUAAAAAAAUGAUUGGAUCACCCAGAUUAUAAAUAAGGUUAUUUGUUUCUCAAAAAUCCCUAGUAAAACAUUAAAUAUCAGCUCUUUUGGGGGAGAAAUACAUUCAUUUCCGGGAGACCUCAGAAAAGUGACUAUCCUUUUGCUCCAUCCAACCAGGUAGAAGAGGGGAAGUCCCAGAAGACCCCAAGGGCCCCCUCUGGUUGAGCCAGAUAGCCACUCACAUCCGACCACUGAAGGAGAUGGCUAAUGCACAUUUACAAAUGAAACUGCACAUCCAUCACAUUAAACCCAA